GGUGUGUCUGCAGGGAGGACUUCUCAAGCUCCAGGGCUGGAUGCUUGGCCCCAACCCAGCUCCCAUGGCAGGGGUCCUCCAAAAGGGAAGACCCAAGAUACUGCAGCCAAAAUGUCUCAUGAGGCAGAUGAAUUCCUGAGAGAAACACAGAAGGAAGCACCCGGAGGACAAGUGAUGGACCAAAAGGCUGUUCAGGAGGAGGAACACUCAGGGAGAAGCAGUGGCUCAUUGGCAGCCCCUGCUGCAGGAAGGAAGGCGAUGCCAGACACGG